rnacentral:rRNA from 1 species
UACAGAGGUGGCAAGCGUUGUUCGGAAUUACUGGGCGUAAAGGGCGCGUAGGCGGUCAGGUCAGUCCCGUGUGAAAUCCCUCGGCUCAACUGAGGAACUGCACGGGAAACUGCCUGGCUUGAGUUCGGGAGAGGGAAGCGGAAUUCCGGGUGUAGCGGUGAAAUGCGUAGAUAUCCGGAGGAACACCGGUGGCGAAGGCGGCUUCCUGGACCGGCAUUGACGCUGAUGAGCGAAAGCCAGGGGAGCAAACGGG